GACGAACGCUGGCGGCGUGCUUAACACAUGCAAGUCGAACGGAAAGGCCCCUUUGGGGGUACUCGAGUGGCGAACGGGUGAGUAACACGUGAGUAACCUGCCCUUGACUUCGGGAUAACUUCAGGAAACUGGGGCUAAUACCGGAUAGGAAUUCUUGCUGCAUGGUGGGGGUUGGAAAGCUUCGGCGGUUUUGGAUGGACUCGCGGCUUAUCAGCUUGUUGGUGGGGUAGUGGCUUACCAAGGCUUUGACGGGUAGCCGGCCUGAGAGGGCGACCGGCCACAUUGGGACUGAGAUACGGCCCAGACUCCUACGGGAGGCAGCAGUGGGGAAUAUUGCACAAUGGGCGGAAGCCUGAUGCAGCAACGCCGCGUGCGGGAUGACGGCCUUCGGGUUGUAAACCGCUUUCAGCAGGGGCGAAGCUUGUGGUGACGGUACCUGCAGAAGAAGCACCGGCUAACUACGUG
rnacentral:rRNA from 1 species